rnacentral:piRNA from 1 species
UGGCCANUGCAGGUAUGUAACCAAGUAUU